rnacentral:rRNA from 1 species
CAGCCGCCACGGGAAUACGGAGGGAGCUAGCGUUGUUCGGAAUUACUGGGCGUAAAGCGCGCGUAGGCGGUUACUCAAGUCAGAGGUGAAAGCCCGGGGCUCAACCCCGGAACUGCCUUUGAAACUAGGUGACUAGAAUCUUGGAGAGGUCAGUGGAAUUCCGAGUGUAGCGGUGAAAUUCGUAGAGAUGUGGAGGAACACCAAUGGCGAAGGCGACUCUCUGGUCUGUAACUGACGCUGAGGAACGAAAGCAUGGGGAGCGAACAGGAUUAGAUACCCCUGUAGUCCCUGUCUCUUAUAC